GCCCCGGUGGCUCAGUCAGUUGAGCAUCUGACUUCGGCUCAGCUCAUGAUCUCAUGGUUCGUGGGUUCGAGCCCUACAUUGGGCU
rnacentral:tRNA from 1 species